GAGCAGAGGACCCACCCUCACCCCUGCUGCUCCCAUCCCUAACCCUGCAGGAUACUGGUCCUGGGCUUCAGGGACAUGUGGCUCUGGGGAGGGGGUGACAUCACAGUGACCUGGGGAUAACAGAGUGUGAGAAACCAGGGGCCCCAUGCUCCUGAAGAAGGGAGGCCUGCCCAGGGAACCUUAGGAGGCAGGGGGCCAGGGGACACCAGUGAAGUCAGCCAGCUGCAGGCCAGCCUCCCCCAUCGUUCCCAGCCUGGUGCACAUUCUGCCCAGGCUAGUCUCACAGUGAGGACAGCCAGGAUAAGGCCAGAGGAAAAAGCUUCAUCUUGGCCACAAUGGGGGCAGAGCUCUGGGCACAGGGCUGGGCCACAGCAGCCACAGGGCCAGCCAAGUGGCAAUUACAGGAUGACCUGGACACUGCUCAGGCACACCUGCUACAUAUGAAGCUGAACCUCAGAACCGAACCCACCCCGUAGGCACUGAGGACAACGCAGCUGCCGCCAUCCCUCCAGGAAUGGGGAAUCUGAAACCACAUCCAGUGAAAAAACCUGAUCUGGAGAUCCAGAGGGGGUUGCUGUGGGGGUUGGAAUCUUUCCUCGAGAUUAAAUGAGAGGAAAAGGUGGAAA